CGUGGCGUAAAUGAACAAUGAAAAUGCAGUAGAUUAGCGGCUAAUAAAAAAUGCUCGAGCUUUUAUACUAUCGAUAUUGAUAGCUCUCCCUGAAGUGACAAAAGGCCAAAGUGAUUAAAAUUCCAAUUUAGGGCUAUUGUUUUAGUACCUAAGGUGGAUAGUUAUGCUCUACAGUGGUGCAGUCAAAUGAUUCUGGUUCAGGUUUAAUCAACUCCUUUGAUAUACUUCAGAAAUAGCCGAGAUUUUGGUUAUUGGUCUAAUGCUAUGAUUUGCAAUUGGUUCUACUGGUUUCUCUUUUUCGAGGUAUAUGCAAAGUUUGUUUAUCUAGAUUCUUCUUAGUUUAUGACUACAAGGCCUUCGAUGAAAAGGCAAGCUAGCUACACGGAAAUUAUCAAUCUAGGAAUUGUUCAAUGUGCUCAAUAGCUUCUAUUUUCUGAAAUUUAGCCUGCAUCUAAAGAUAGCUUGCAUGUACAUAAUACUAACUCUCCUUACGUAUUAAUUAUGCUCUACCCUGCACCUAUUUUUGUUCUUGGCAUCCAGAAUGAGGUGCAAAACAUCUCUCAUGUCAUGUAACAAUAGUAGUAUAAAUAACAUAUUUUCCCUCUAAAAAAUAUUGUUAUACCAAUGUCCGCUCUAAAUAAGGUCACUGUUGGUUAUACGAUUUUAAUCUUCAGAUUCAAGUCCCAUGUUGUUGUCUGUUUUGUGCAGGUUUAGACUUUUUCUAUGACAUAGUUUCUAAAAUUAACUUAUAGAACAUAUUUUGACUAUCGUUUGAACCAUGUUUCUUCGCAGAAGGCGAUUCUUUUCAGUCUUUUCCGAUUCAUGCUUGUGCUUGCUGGUCACCUGGUCUGUCUGCAACUGUUGUUAUUCGUGGACAGAGGGAGUAAUGUGCCGAGCAGCCUGACGAGGAUGGCCAGCGGCGAGGCGCCCUUGCGCUAUACGUCCACGACGGCAUCUGCUGCGUAGCUGCAGAGGGGAUAGCGGACGGACAAUCGGGUGCCCUGAGCUCCACCUACCAGCUCCCCUUUG